GUUAGUGGAAAUUUUUCGGAAUGGAAGCUAAUGCGUAGCGGCGGAUGGGUGAGUAACGCGUGGAUAACCUGCCUCUAAAUGGGGAAUAACUACGAGAAAUCGUAGCUAAUACCGCAUAAUAUCUCUUUAUUGCAUGAUAGAGAGAGGAAAGACGGCCUUAGCGCUGUCGUUUAGAGAUGGAUCCGCGUCUGAUUAGCUAGUUGGUGAGGUAAGGGCUCACCAAGGCGACGAUCAGUAGCCGGCCUGAGAGGGUGAACGGCCACAUUGGGACUGAGACACGGCCCAAACUCCUACGGGAGGCAGCAGUGGGGAAUCUUCCGCAAUGGGCGCAAGCCUGACGGAGCAAUGCCGCGUGAGUGAAGAAGGCCUUCGGGUUGUAAAACUCUGUCCUUAUCGAAGAGAGAGAAGAGUAGUAACUGACUUUUCUAGGACGUAGAUGAGAGGAGCCCCGC
rnacentral:rRNA from 1 species